rnacentral:tRNA from 1 species
GCCGAUGUGGCUUAAUGGCAAAGCAACGCUUUCGUAAAGCGUGGAUUGACAGUUCGAUUCUGUCCAUCGGCU